rnacentral:rRNA from 1 species
ACACGCAUGACACACUGCAUAUCAAUAAGCGGAGGAAAAGAAACUAACAAGGAUUCCCUUAGUAACGGCGAGUGAAGCGGGAAGAGCUCAAAUUUGAAAUCUUCAAGGUUCUACCUUGACGAAUUGUAGUUUAUAGAAGUGUUUUCUGUUAGUAGAGUGGCAAAAGUUCUUUGGAAUAGGACAUCAUAGAGGGUGAGAAUCCCGUAUUUGGUCAUUCCUCCUAGCGUUGUGAUACACUUUCAACGAGUCGGAUUGUUUGGGAAUGCAGUCCAAAAUGGGUGGUAAAUUUCAUCUAAAGCUAAAUAUUGGCGAGAGACCGAUAGCGAACAAGUACCGUGAGGGAAAGAUGAAAAGAACUUUGAAAAGAGAGUUAAACAGUACGUGAAAUUGUCAAAAGGGAAGCGUUUGACACCAGUGUUGUUUUUCCGAAAAUCAAUUACGAAUGUUUUGUUUUUGAGGAGUUAUGACUUCAUCGGCUUGCUCCUUCCUUUACGAAACUUUCUUAAUGCACUUUUCGGUUAACAAGUCAACAUCAAUUUCUUUUGUUGUAAAAGGGUAUGAGGAAGGUGGCUCUCUUUUCGGAGAAAGUGUUUAUAGCCUUGUGCCUCUGCAAUCGGAGAGAUUGAGGUCUGCAGCGUAGAUCCUUCGGGGUUAGAUACGUUUGUGCUAAGUUAUAGCUUUUCAUAGACAACUUGUUGACUAUGUUUAGUCUUGUAGCUUACUCGCUUAUGCUAUUUUACCUACGCUUAGGAUGUUGAGCGCAUGUCUCUCUCU